UGCAAAUGAGCCGCGCCUCCACUCACUCGCAUGAGCUUGGCGAACUUACUGAGAUAUCUGUAUCAAAGAAACAAUGCCAUUGGUUGACAGUCUGUACAAUCUCCAGCUGAUCCAGGAGUUCUGCAGGGAAAACCUCAGCAACUGCUGUCACUUCACCCUGGAGGAUAUGCUGUAUGCCUCCAGCACCAUCAAGUUCGAGGCCAGGAUGAAUGAGUGAUCACUGGAGUAUUACAGGAAAUUUCAGCAGGGCUGAUGCAGGAUGGGAAAGACUACCAGUGCGUGUUUUAAAUCUGACCGUUUGGAAUGACUGAGUCAUGGUUUGUGUGUGAGAGAACGCUGCUAUGUGGAUCGCCUCAGACAGUAAUGUUAUUGAAGCAGUUUGUCUAGAUAAACACACUCCAUGUGUAGCCGUUACCUCACACAGCCACCAUCAUAACAACAGCCAGUAAUAUUUUUUUGAGCAAAUGUGUUAAAUUUUCCAAACCGGCAGCCGUGGAUUUGCCGUUAUGUUAGAUGAGUCUGUGGUCGAUUAUGUAAACCAGGUUAAAAUGCUUUCAGCCAGUCGCAUACUCUCCAGUAAAACAAAGGUACAUCUAAUUUCUUUGAUUAUUUAGGCCUUAAAUGUUGUGAUUACACUAAAGGAGGUCUUUUUCAUGAGGCUAACAGCCCCUAACUGUGGUGAAAUAAAGGUGUCAGGACUGAAUAAAUCUGCAGAGAGUGCUGGGUCUGUUCUGUUCGUGUCAGGCUGCCCCGGUUGCUUUGUUCCUCUUGUCGGGUCAGAAAACCCUUUUAUGUUUUGAAAGAGACUCUUCUCAUGGCUGCUGUGCAGUUUCUUUCAAUAAAUGCACUAUAUUAGGAUAUACACUAAUGAAAGUGUAUUUUGCAAAGUUAUUAUAGUAUUUCAAAUGCGUAAACUUGCACUUGUUUUUCCUUCACAACAGAAUGUGUUGAUGUCAGAUGAAUACAUAAACACAUGACCCUCUAAAUGUAUACAUCAUAUUCACACAAA